rnacentral:rRNA from 1 species
AACGAACGCUGCCGGCUUGCCAAACACUUCCAGGUGGACGGAGACCUUGGGACCUAGUGGCGCAGGGUUGCUUAACGCUGGGGAAUCGGCCUUUGGGUUGGGAUUAACAGGGGGAGAUUCCUGCAAUUACCGGUGAUUUCUUUCGGACCAAGAUUUAUUGCCCAGGGAUGAGCCCGCGUAGGAUUAAGCUAGUUGGUGGGGUAAUGGCCUACCAAGGCGACGAUCCUUAGCUGGUCUGAGAGGAUGAUCAGCCACACUGGGACUGAGACACGGCCCAGACUCCUACGGGAGGCAGCAGUGGGGAAUAUUGGACAAUGGGCGAAAGCCUGAUCCAGCAAUGCCGCGUGAGUGAUGAAGGCCUUAGGGUUGUAAAGCUCUUUUACCAGGGAUGAUAAUGACAGUACCUGGAGAAUAAGCUCCGGCUAACUCCGUGCCAGCCGCCGCGGUAA